rnacentral:rRNA from 1 species
UGCAGUCGAGCGGCAGCGCGGGGGCAACCCUGGCGGCGAGCGGCGAACGGGUGAGUAACAUAUCGGAACGUACCCAGUAAUGGGGGAUAACUAACCGAAAGGUUAGCUAAUACCGCAUACGCCCUGAGGGGGAAAGUGGGGGAUCGCAAGACCUCACGUUAUUGGAGCGGCCGAUAUCGGAUUAGCUAGUUGGUGAGGUAAAGGCUCACCAAGGCGACGAUCCGUAGCGGGUCUGAGAGGACGGCCCGCCACACUGGAACUGAGACACGGUCCAGACUCCUACGGGAGGCAGCAGUGGGGAAUUUUGGACAAUGGGCGCAAGCCUGAUCCAGCCAUUCCGCGUGAGUGAAGAAGGCCUUCGGGUUGUAAAGCUCUUUCGGCAGGAACGAAACGGUCAUUCCUAAUACGAGUGGCUAAUGACGGUACCUGAAGAAGAAGCACCGGCUAACUACGUGCCAGCAGCCGCGGUAAUACGGAGGGUGCAAGCGUUAUCCGGAUUUAUUGGGUUUAAAGGGUGCGU